rnacentral:rRNA from 1 species
CAAUAGCGUAUAUUAAAGUUGUUGCAGUUAAAAAGCUCGUAGUUGGAUUUGUGGCGUACGGUGUGUUCCGGGCACUUGUUGUCUGAGUAACCUGAUGUUGCCAUCCUUGGGUGGAACCUGUGUGGCAUUAGGUUGUCGUGCAGGGGAUGCCCAUCAUUUACUGUGAAAAAAUUAGAGUGUUCAAAGCAGGCUUAUGCCGUUGAAUAUAUUAGCAUGGAAUAAUGAGAUAGGACUUUUUUGCUAUUUUGUUGGUUUGCGCAAAGAGGUAAUGAUUAAUAGGGACAGUUGGGGGUAUUCGUAUUCCAUUGUCAGAGGUGAAAUUCUUGGAUUUUUGGAAGACGAACUACUGCGAAAGCAUUUACCAAGGAUGUUUUCAUUAA